CUGCCUUAAACUAAUGAGUAAGGAAAACAAAGCGAGCGGUGGGAGCUGCUCGCCGCGCUAACUUGUGUUGCGCAAGAAUUUAUGGAGGGGUUAUAGGCUGACCGAGCGUUGACGCUGCUUACUUUGCAGAACUCGCUUGAGUGGGCCUCCC